UACGUAGGGAGCAAGCGUUGUCCGGAUUUACUGGGUGUAAAGGGUGCGUAGGUGGCUUUGCAAGUCAGAUGUGAAAUCUAUGGGCUCAACCCGUAAACUGCAUUUGAAACUGUAGAGCUUGAGUGAAGUAGAGGCAGGCGGAAUUCCCCGUGUAGCGGUGAAAUGCGUAGAGAUGGGGAGGAACACCAGUGGCGAAGGCGGCCUGCUGGGCUUUAACUGACGCUGAGGCACGAAAGCGUGGGUAGCAAACAGG
rnacentral:rRNA from 1 species